UGAAUCCUCAUUCCCACCCCAUUUCAAUUUUCAUCAAACCCUAAUUUCCCAUCUCUCAACCUCGUCUCUGUCUUUAGUUCUUCUACAUUCAACCUAGAACCGACACCGUCCUUGGGUUGAUUCAUCUUCAACAUCGUACCGAUCUGUUUUUCAGAUCCAGUUUUUUGGUGUGAAGAUGGUUGCAGCCACGACUGAACUUGUCUGAAAGAAAUUAAUGGUGAAUGUUAGUUGUUUGAUUAAAUGUCUGAAAGAAUUUGAUUGUGAAUAGAGUAUGUAGACAAGAUCUUUUUAUCUUGAAAAGGAUUGGAAAGAUCAUUUUUUGGUUGCUAAUUAUAUAUAUUUUUUAUUUACAUGUGCUGAUGAUUUUUAGUUCUUUUUUAAUGUACUGUCACGACCCUUGAUGUUAAGUCAAGAAAGGUGUUGUUGGUAUCUUAGGCUCCUUGCAUAUUUCAACUUCUUAUUCAUGUGAUGACUUUUGACAUGUCCUUAUCAAGGAGAAGAAUGUGUGUGGAAAGUAAGAGUUGAGCUACCAGAUACUUAUUCUUAUAAAUCUCCUUUCAUGGGCUUCAUCAAUAAGAUUUAUCACCCAAAUGUUAUUAAGAUGCCAGGAUCAAUUUGUCUUGGUGUUAUCAAUCAAACAUGGAGUCAGAGAACAAAGAGAAAGUAGCAGGCAAGAGUUAUAAGCAAAGAGCCUGUCAUAGAACAAUAGCCUGGUUUGUGUGUUCGGUUCCCUAUUAAAUGUAGUCAUAAUAUUAAGGAAGAGGACCAUUGGAGAGAGAAGCAGGAAUCCAAUUGUUGAUUUUGAAUACUAUUUAUGUGUUAUGAUUUUAUUGAAAGAGUGUGACUAUUUGCUGGCAGCAGACUUUUUGAUUUGGUUUGUAUGGCGCAGGUUUUCCUUAUGAAGUUGCUGCACCUGUUAUCGUGGUUCCUGAUUCGGUCG